UACGUAGGGGGCGAGCGUUGUCCGGAUUUAUUGGGCGUAAAGAGCGUGUAGGCGGUUCGGUAAGUCUGUCGUGAAAUCCUGAGGCUCAACCUCGGGCGUGCGAUGGAUACUGCCGGGCUAGAGGGUGGUAGAGGCGAGUGGAAUUCCCGGUGUAGCGGUGAAAUGCGCAGAUAUCUGGAGGAACACCGGUGGCGAAGGCGGCAUCCUGGACCAAUACUGACGCUGAGGAGCGAAAGCCAGGGGAGCAAACGGG
rnacentral:rRNA from 1 species